rnacentral:rRNA from 1 species
UACGUAGGGUGCAAGCGUUGUCCGGAAUUAUUGGGCGUAAAGAGCGUGUAGGCGGCCCGAUUAGUCCGCUGUGAAAGUCCAGGGCUCAACCCUGGAAUGCGGGUGGAUACUGCCGGGCUAGAAUCCGGAAGAGGCGAGUGGAAUUCCUGGUGUAGCGGUGGAAUGCGCAGAUAUCAGGAGGAACACCGAUGGCGAAGGCAGGUCUCUGGGCCACUACUGACGCUGAGAAGCGAAAGCAUGGGGAGCGAACAGG